rnacentral:lncRNA from 1 species
UGAGGCAGAGAUUCUAAAGACUUCUAUUUAUACUGGCAUAAACCAUCUAAAGCCCACUAAUAAUAGAUAAAAGUCAUUCUGCAACGGCUAUAUUCAAGCCAUAAGGGUUUAUGCCUUUAUACGAUGGCUAAGUUUUCCUAUGCUACAAUUUUUUCCCUUAUUCUUAUUAUUUAUGGUACAGUAUAUAUUUAAGCAUAUAUACAAAUGUUAACAAAGAUUUUAAAAAUGAAUUAUUAUUAUAACUAUUUUUUUUUUUUUUGUUUCGUUCCUUUGAUUUUUGUAGUUUCUACAGCAAGUGUGGAAGGAGCAUUAUGUUCGAAUGAUUUGUACCUUAAUCCUUGUCGUGAAUCAUUUUGCAAAUUCAUAUGUCUUAGUCGCUAUGAGGGUGGACGAGGACAUUGUGCGAAGAGAAAAUCUCAUGAAAUACCUUAUGAAGUAUGUGCAUGCGUUCAUGAGCAUGAUUGUCCCCAUUAGGCUUUAGGGAUCAUAUUUUUCUAAAAAAUAUAUAAAGUUGAGAAAUGCCUUCUUUUGCAAAAUAGA